UCCUACGGGAGGCAGCAGUGAGGAAUAUUGGUCAAUGGGAGAGAUCCUGAACCAGCCAAGCCGCGUGAGGGAAGACGGCCCUAUGGGUUGUAAACCUCUUUUGUCGGAGAACAAAACCCGGGACGUGUCCCGGACUGCGUGUACCCGAAGAAAAAGCAUCGGCUAACUCCGUGCCAGCAGCCGCGGUAAUACGGAGGAUGCGAGCGUUAUCCGGAUUUAUUGGGUUUAAAGGGUGCGUAGGCGGUCCGUUAAGUCAGCGGUAAAAUUGCGUGGCUCAACCCCGUCGUGCCGUUGAAACUGGCAGA
rnacentral:rRNA from 1 species